AAGAUCACUGCCUAUUGUGAUGCUGACUGGGAAGCAUGUCCUCUUACAAGGAAAUCAGUUACAGGUUAUAUGAUCAAACUAGGAGAUUCACUAAUCUCAUGGAAGCCUAAGAAACAGACUACAGUCUCAAGGAGCUCAGCUCAGGUUGAAUAUAGAAGCCUAGCUAGUACAGUCUCUGAACUGAUUGGGCUGAUUAGUGCCUUAAAAGGAAGUAGAUAGCAAGGUGCAAUUGCAAAUACAGAUAUAUAGUGACAGUAAAUCAGCCAUCCAAAUUGUUGCUAAUCCAGUUUACCACGAAAGAACAAAACAUAUUGAGAUUGACUGUCACUUCAUCAGAGAAAGGCUGCAACAAGGGCUGAUUAAUGUGAAUUAUAUACCUACACAGGCGCAGCUUGCAGAUGUGUUAACUAAAGGCUUGUCUAGAUAUCAGCAUGAGUAUCUAUUGUCCGAGCUUGGAGCUCUAAACAUCUUUAUACCUCCUAGAUUGAAGGGGGUGUUAAGAUACUCAACUAACAAGUGUAGUUAGUUAGCAGUUAGAGACUUAAAGUGAGUCACAAGUAGUUGAGUUAGUUAUAACUAACUCAACACAUACUCUAUAUAAAGAACCAUAUCAAGCAUUGUAGGAUUAAUUACUCAUUCAAUAUCACUGCUAUGAUUCUUCCUCUCUGUUUUCCUUCUUUUAGUUCUCAAGUUUCAUGGUUUACUUCCAUCUUGAUUACCUUCAAGAACCCUUCAUUGCUGCCCUCGGCUCCUCCAUGCUCACUUCACCUCCUAGUAGGCAUGCCGCUGCUAUGCCUUGCACUGUGACUUUUCUGCCACCGAACACAGGGGACUUCCACUGUAAGUUUCUCAUUGAAACAUCAUGGAGUUUCCUACUGUCUGCUAUUGGAAAAGAAGGAAGUUAUAGAGAAAUUCCAAUGCAAGCGGUGGAACUCACGUGCACCAAGAAUCAUCCAUCGACAAGCAUUUGGAGUUGAGAUGCUUCUGUAUCUAAUAAUCAGCUUGUUCGAAUAGGUGCUGCUGUAUUGCAGCAGUAAAUGUUAUUAAAAAUCCUCCCGUGCCUAUUAUCACAUCAAUUCAGGAUAUGCAAUCUCAAACUUGAGACAAACUAGCUCAGGAAAAAAUGUGGCACCUUUAAGUUCAUUAAGCGCAUAGGAUUGAUGAACUUAACAAAGAAGAGAAGUUUGUUUCAAAGUUUGUUAUCGAGCUGUUACUCUUGGUUCUUAAUUUGCUGUGAAGCAACAGACGAUUGAGAAGCUCGUUAGAAAUGCAAUCACCUAGAGGGAUUGGAUCACAAAGUCCAAUGCAGGAAGGUUCGGAUGGGGAUGAAGAAUCAGUUGGUGGGAGUUAUUCAUCAUGGCAUCUUCCUAAAUCACCAAAAAGGAACCCGCUAUCCAUUUUACAUUGAGCAAAACAUAUGGAGGAACUCCCGAUAUGACAGGAAAAGCAAGAUGUGCAGCUAACAAAGAGCAAGAUCAUCAAAUAACUUUAAAGCAACAUAAUUUGAUUAGGCCAAUGUGAUCUGAUGAAAGUCUCAACUGAACUCUGUGUGAAUAUUAAAAGAAAUUGAGUAGAUGAGCAUUUGUUUUUCCCCCUCAUUUUCAACAUUGUACUUGUAUGAAGAUUGGCUGGAUUUUAUUUUAUUUUUUAAAAAGAGAAAGUGAGGGAUUUUUGGGCUC